ACUGAAUGCUUGAAAAGUCAGUGCAUCAAUACCUUGGCUCUAGACUGCUUACUGCUAAAUGUGUCUGAAAGUACAGUAACAGUCUACAGUCAUGGCUACUGACGUCUGGCAACCUUCCACAGAGGAUUC
rnacentral:pre_miRNA from 8 species